rnacentral:rRNA from 1 species
UUUUAACAUGCAUUGUAGCAUUUGGGGUAACUACUGUAUGGUGCCUAUUCGUGUGAGUUCCUUUGAUCAGGGCUUUAACCAUAGAAGGUGCUAGUCCUAUAAUCACGAAUAGUUAUGUGCUGUACAUUGUAUACCUUUCGAGUAGCGUAGUUUGAGAUUGCUACGCCAACGUGGGACGUAAACUUGUUCCAAAGCUAAAUAUUAUAACGAGACCGAUAGCGAACAAGUACCGUGAGGGAAAGUUGAAAAGCACUCUGAAGAGAGAGUUAAAUAGUACGUAAAACCGUACAGAAGAAAACGAAUGGCCGCAUUCAUCAGAUUACUUUGUAUUCAAUGCGAUCUCUAUAUGAUGGUGAUACAUGUUAAUUUGGAACUUCAACAGUCCGUUGAUAUGUUAUUGCUUGGAGUCGUGUGCAUUUUCAAAGUAUUAACUGAACCUGGAUCUAUAACAUUAAGCUAGUCGAAUCAGUCUGUUUUGGUAGCGAGUACUUGUACUCGUGUUAAAAAUAUGACUUGCAUAAAUAACAAAUUCGACUUGGCGUUAUAGGUAAAAUGACAUGUUCUUUGAUUUCAGUACUAUUACGGCAUGCCAUGAGCAUUGUUUGUGUCACAUGAGUAACUAAUAUUUAAAAGAUAUUAGCUUUAUUUAUGUCGGUGCUUAAUGUUUUGUGGCUGUCAAUGAAAUCGGCAAGUCUACAGGAGUUUUGAAUGCCGAGUUAUUCGACCCGUCUUGAAACACGGUCUAAGGAGUUCACUGCAUGUGCAAGAGUUCGGCUGUAUGAAAAGCCUUGCUCGUAAUGAAAGUAAAGAACAUUCUUGCAAUGUUUUAAGUGUGAUUUCUGUCAUCUGGUGCAAAUCAUGACAAUGAACGCAACACUGACAGGUUMUAUUGCCGCUGGCAAAGAGCUUAGUAAGAGUAUAUGCAAUGAGAC